AUUGAACGCUGGCGGCAGGCCUAACACAUGCAAGUCGAGCGCGAAAGGCCUUCGGGUUGAGUAGAGCGGCGGACGGGUGAGUAACGCGUAGGAAUCUACCUGGUAGUGGGGGACAACAUGGUGAAAACCAUGCUAAUACCGCAUACGCCCUAUGGGGGAAAGCGGGGGACCUUCGGGCCUCGCGCUAUCAGAUGAGCCUGCGUAGGAUUAGCUUGUUGGUGAGGUAAAGGCUCACCAAGGCGACGAUCCUUAGCUGGUCUGAGAGGAUGAUCAGCCACACUGGAACUGAGACACGGUCCAGACUCCUACGGGAGGCAGCAGUGGGGAAUAUUGCGCAAUGGGCGAAAGCCUGACGCAGCCAUGCCGCGUGUGUGAAGAAGGCCUUCGGGUUGUAAAGCACUUUCAAUUGGGAAGAAAGGUUGCGUGUUAAUAGCACGUAGCUGUGACGUUACCUUUAGAAGAAGCACCGGCUAACUCCGUGCCAGCCGCCGCCGUAAGAC
rnacentral:rRNA from 1 species